rnacentral:rRNA from 1 species
UGUUCGCCCAUUAAAGCGGUACCCGAGCUGGGUUUAGAACGUCGUGAGACAGUUCGGUCCCUAUCCUUCGUGGGUGUUGGAAAUUUGAGGAGAUCUGCUCCUAGUACGAGAGGACCGGAGUGGACGAACCUCUGGUUUUCCGGUUGUGAUGCCAAUUGCAUCGCCGGGUAGCUAUGUUCGGAAAGGAUAACCGCUGAAAGCAUCUAAGCGGGAAGCCAACUCCAAAACUAGAUUUCCCUUCCUCCUUCGGGAGGACCGUAGACCCCUUGUAGACUACAAGGUUGAUAGGCCAGAUGUGUAAGCACAGCAAUGUGUUCAGCUAACUGGUACUAAUUGGUCGCGAGGCUUGAUCUU